UACGGGGGGGGUAAGCGUUGUUCGGAAUUACUGGGCGUAAAGGGCUCGUAGGCGGCCAACUAAGUCAGACGUGAAAUCCCUCAGCUUAACUGGGGAACUGCGUCUGAUACUGUCGAGCUAGAGUGUGGAAGGGGCGAUUGGAAUUCCGUGUGUAGCGGUGAAAUGCGUAGAUAUACGGAGGAACACCAGGGGCGAAGGCGGAUCGCUGGGCCAACACUGACGCUGAGACGCGAAAGCUAGGGGAGCAAACGGG
rnacentral:rRNA from 1 species